rnacentral:rRNA from 1 species
CGCCUCCUGAAAUAUAUAGGAGGUCCAGCCUGCCCAGUGACUUGUUUAACGGCCGCGGUAUCCUAACCGUGCGAAGGUAGCGUAAUCACUUGUCUUUUAAAUAAAGACUAGUAUGAAAGGCAUCACGAGGGUCAAACUGUCUCCAUUUUCUAAUCAGUAAAACUAAUCUUCCCGUGAAGAAGCGGGAAUUUUCCUAUAAGACGAGAAGACCCUAUGGAGCUUUAAACUGCAAGUUAUUCGCCUAUUCCUUUAUUAGUUUCAGAAAUUUAAUAUCCAGGCCCGUUAACUACAAGUUUUAGGUUGGGGUGACCUAGGAGAAAAACAAAUCCUCCUAGUUGGUACGGGUUAAGCCCUGAAAAAAAAGCCACAACUUUAAUUACCAAUAAAUUGACAUCAAUUGACCCAGUCCGCUGAGCAACGAACCAAGUUACCCUAGGGAUAACAGCGCAAUCUACUUCAAGAGUCCCUAUCGACAAGUGGGUUUACGACCUCGAUGUUGGAUCAGGGUGUCCGAGUGGUGCAGCCGCUACUAAAGGUUCGUUUGUUCAACGAUUAAAACCCU